UUUAAAGUCUAAUCUGCCCUAUGAAGUAUUAAAUGGCCGCGGUACUUUGACCGUGCAAAGGUAGCAUAAUAAUUAGUUUUUUAAUUGAAAGCUGGAAUGAAUGAUUGGACGAGAAAAUAGCUGUCUCAGUUUAAUUUUAUUAGAAUUUUAUAUUUAAGUAAGAAAGCUUAAAUUUAAUUAAAAGACGAGAAGACCCUAUAGAGUUUUAUAGUUAAUUGAUUAUUAGUUUUUUAGUAUUAUUUUAUUUGUAGUUAGUUACUUAUUUUAUUGGGGCGAUAGAAAAAUUAGAAUAACUUUUUUUAAAGAUAUUACAUUAAUUUAUGAUUUUUUGAUCCAUUUUUUUAUGAUUAUAAGAUUAAGUUACCUUAGGGAUAACAGCGUAAUUUUUUUUUAGAGUUCUUAUCGAAAAAAUAGGUUGCGACCUCGAUGUUGGAUUAAAAUUAAUGUUUGGUGCAGAAGCUAAAUAAUUAGGUCUGUUCGACCUAUAGAAUUUUACAUGAUCUGAGUUUAAACCGGCGUGAGCCAGGUUGGUUUCUAUCUUUAAUAUAAUAAAGUAUUUUAGUACGAAAGGACCAAAUAUUUGUAAAAAUUAUUUUAUUUUGAAUUAUAUUAG
rnacentral:rRNA from 1 species